CAGUCCCUCACCUCUCGCUGUCAGUGACAGGGAUGAGAGGAGGACCAGUCCCCAGCUCGUUCACAGCACCCCUUUCUUAAGGAGGCGAUGGAGAAGCAAAGAAGAUCUGGAUCCAGUGUGUAGCACGCCCAUAUCUCAGGAGGAUCCUGUUUCUCAGAGACUCCAGCAAAGGAGGCGGAGCCAGGCAGACCCCCUGAGAAGAGUGUUACUGACCACGCAGAUGAAGAAUCAGUUUGCUGCUUUGAAUGUGCCAAAG